AACGCUAGCUACAGGCUUAACACAUGCAAGUCGCGGGGUAACAUCUGGUAGAGCUUGCUCUUCCAGGAUGACGACCGGCGCACGGGUGAGUAACGCGUAUCCAACCUGGCCCAUACCACGGGAUAGCCCGUCGAAAGGCGGAUUAAUACCGUAUGCUGUCAUUAAGAUGCAUAUAUUGAUGACGAAAGGACUGGCGGUAUGGGAUGGGGAUGCGUCUGAUUAGCUUGUUGGCGGGGUAACGGCCCACCAAGGCGACGAUCAGUAGGGGUUCUGAGAGGAAGGUCCCCCACAUUGGAACUGAGACACGGUCCAGACUCCUACGGGAGGCAGCAGUGAGGAAUAUUGGUCAAUGGGCGUAAGCCUGAACCAGCCAAGUAGCGUGAGGGAAGACUGCCCUACGGGUUGUAAACCUCUUUUGUUUGGGAAUAAAGUGCGGGACGCGUCCCGCAUUGCAUGUACCAUUUGAAUAAGGACCGGCUAAUUCCGUGCCAGCAGCCGCGGUAAUACGGAAGGUCCGGGCGUUAUCCGGAUUUAUUGGGUUUAAAGGGAGCGCAGGCCGUGGGUUAAGCGUGUCGUGAAAUUCCGUCGCUCAACGGCGGACGUGCGGCGCGAACUGGUCCACUUGAGUACGCGGGACGUUGGCGGAAUUCGUGGUGUAGCGGUGAAAUGCUUAGAUAUCACGAAGAACUCCGAUUG
rnacentral:rRNA from 1 species